AACGAACGCUGGCGGCAUGCCUAACACAUGCAAGUCGAACGAGACCUUCGGGUCUAGUGGCGCACGGGUGCGUAACACGUGGGAAUUUGCCUCGGGGUAUGGAAUAACUCAGGGAAACUUGAGCUAAUACCAUAUAAUGUCUUCGGACCAAAGAUUUAUCGCCCUGAGAUAAGCCCGCGUAGGAUUAGCUAGUUGGUGGGUAAAGGCUCACCAAGGCGACGAUCCUUAGCUGGUCUGAGAGGAUGAUCAGCCACACUGGGACUGAGACACGGCCCAGACUCCUACGGGAGGCAGCAGUGGGGAAUAUUGGACAAUGGGCGAAAGCCUGAUCCAGCAAUGCCGCGUGAGUGAUGAAGGCCUUCGGUUGGUAAAGGACUCUUUUACUUCGGGUACGGAGUAAUAGACGGUACCGACGAGAAUAAGACCCGGCCGUAACUACCGU
rnacentral:rRNA from 1 species